AAAUGUGAGGGCCAUCUGGCUGCGACAUCUGUCACCCCACUGAUGGCCAGGGUUGAUUCGUCUGAUCUGGCUGGCUAGGCGGGGGUCCCCUUCCUCCAUCCAUGUGCGUCCCUUCCGAAGCUGCAGCUGCCAGCUUUGUGGGAG
rnacentral:snRNA from 1 species